AGUGAAUAGAUACCCUGGUAGUCCCAGCCGUAAACGAUGCUCGCUAGGUGUCAGGCAUGGCGCGACCGUGUCUGGUGCCGCAGGGAAGCCGUGAAGCGAGCCACCUGGGAAGUACGGCCGCAAGGCUGAAACUUAAAGGAAUUGGCGGGGGAGCACAACAACGGGUGGAGCCUGCGGUUUAAUUGGACUCAACGCCGGACAACUCACCGGGGGCGACAGCAAUAUGUAGGCCAAGCUGAAGACUUUGCCUGAAUCGCUGAGAGGAGGUGCAUGGCCGUCGCCAGUUCGUACUGUGAAGCAUCCUGUUAAGUCAGGCAACGAGCGAGACCCGUGCCCACUGUUACCAGCAUGUCCUCGGAC
rnacentral:rRNA from 1 species